GAGUGGUCUAAGGCGCCAGACUCAAGGCUCUGCCUUCCCGCAGGUUUGGGGAUUCUGGUCUCCGUGUGGAGGCGUGGGUUCAAAUCCCACUCCUGACA
rnacentral:tRNA from 1 species